AAUCUGCAUAUACAUAUAUGUAUAUGUAUAUAUGCAAUAUACAUAGACAUAACCCCAGAAUCUGAUUGUGUCUUUCUGCUUCUCCUUUAAGUAAGUAAACAGUGAACUUUCAGCUAAACGGGACAGUUUCACACCCUCAAUAAGCAUUGUCUUUUUUUCUGUUUUUCUUUUUCAGAUUCUCAAAGACGGGCAACUAUGAGAUAUCUGCAUGUUUUAGGUGAAAAAACACAUGAUCAGGGUUGGAAUAUACUUGGACAUAAACACACUUACACAAUAGAAUGUAUAGAAUGUAUAAACAGCACUUGCAUCUCUGUUUACACGUAUCACUCUUGCAGUGUCCUCAUAUCAGUUCUAUCUGUCAGCAAAGGAAAAGAAUGCAGCCAUGAUGCCAUGAACACACAUUCCUCAAAGCAAUCUCUUUACCUCAUAAAACAUCUUCUUUGGAUAAAUAUAGUCAGGUUACCAGAGCUCUUAUUUGAAAAUCUGUGAAAAAAAGCAUGUUUUUGAAAGUGAAAGAGGACCGAUUACAGACAGCUGUGGCACUCCAAAUGUUCCUCUCCACCCCAUGGUUAGGACAGCAGUUAGUGAGGGACUUCCUGCAUGGAAAGCUGUGUAUGUUUUCCUUCAGUGAAUCGAACAUCCUGCAGAUCUUAAAUUCCAGUCAGCAAUAAACUCCCUGACCUCUGAGCACAAAAUUAGGUGCAUCAUAUAAGCAAGAGACAAAAGCGAAAGGAGGGACUGCAAAACAAAACCAAAAGAUAGAGAUAAAAGAAAAUGACAAAGAAUGAACAGGAGAAUGCAAACUCACACAUUUCUGGGUGAGUUUUCUUAAUUAUUCAUUGUAUGAAAAGGAUAACGAAAAAGGAAACUACUUUACAUGAUUAAUAAUUAGCAGUUACAUUUGUUUUGUUUUUUUUUUGUAAGUUAUAGUCACAGUUUAAAUUUUUGAAAAAUAUAAACAACUAAAAAUAUAAACUAAAUAUAAAUUUCUGUCUCCCUUACCUGACCUAUUUUUUUUAGAUGUAACCAUAAUGUCAUCAGUUUAAUCUAGUCAAAUGAAUACAUUAUAUUUUUGUUGCCAAUUGAUGUAUGUUACCACAUGAAACACAUUUGUUAGGUUGUUAGGUUAGGCCUACAUGAUUACAAACUUAUUUAUUUGACCGUAUAGCUAAUUUAGAGAAACACUUGGACAAUGAACAAAGCAAUCCAUAUAAAUAGAUUUACUCACCGUAUUGUAAUGCUCAUAAACUUCAAGCCUCUUUUUACAUAUAAGUGAGAUGAUCAAUUCAUUUAUUAUGACACAUGCAUGCAAAUAGGGAUCAUCUCAUAUUACUUCUUUCAUCCAAUGUCUGAAAACACAAUGUUUCUUGCCAUGAAAGAUUCAGAUUUUAUUUUUUAUUAUAUGGACAGGGUUGUCAGUUGCAACAUGCGGUGAACCCUAUCUGCCAAUAUGUUUAUUCAGGUAUUAUCAACUGACUGAUGAAACAAACUACUCACCAGUCAACAUAUGUUCCUAAUUUGCUGGCUUUAUUUGAUUUUAAACCACAUGUUUUCUUCUUUAAAUGGUUGUGAAUGUUUGCAACAGAGCAUUCUCUGAAGAUCACAAACAAUAUGUUUUUACAAUUGUAUGUUUUUGGCAUUACGAGCAGUGAUGAAUUUAUCCUUGGGGGGGGGGCAUGGUAUUAUUUAAUGAACAUGGACAUACAAUCCCAAAAUAUAUUGAUUGGCUAUAUAUUCAGUGUUUUUGACCUCCUUCCUCUUGUCCUGAAAUUUCCCCAUAUUGAAAAAGAAAAAGAAAAAUCUUAAAGGUAAGUGGAAUUCCAUCAUUACUUUGAAGAGCUGGUUCUGUGUUAUGUUCACCACUCCCUGGGGUUUACAUGUGUAGCAGCACCAAAAUUUUAAAACAACUAAUAAAGUAUGCCAUACUAUAUUGUAAAUAUUACAUUUAGAGCAGUAAUCCUCUAUGUAUUAAUUUAAUGUGCAGAAUGUAUAUGAUCUCCGACCAAUGUUUAAGUUUGACAUAUCUGAAUGCCUCCAAAUAAAUUAUUUUGCAUAUGUGCAUAUUAACACCUUUUCUUCUGUUUCUCAUUUCCUGCGUUUCUCUUUGUCUGAAAUCACAUGCUUUAUCUGGAGUAUUAUUGUGUACAGCUCUCAAAGGACAGAGAUGUUUCCCAGAGCAGAUCACAUGACCCUGUCAUGCGCUAUCACUGAAGUUGUUCUCUUAUUGGUCGGUUACUCCACAAUGCCACAAUUUGUGCAUAUUGUAUCAUAGUAUUUUUUUUUUCUAAAAAAAAUUUUUUGUGCUAAUUUAGAGAUUAGGGGCUGGAAAUGGGAUUAUAUAGAAUGUUAAUCUUUACAUGUGGUUAAAUGGUGUUUUCCCCUCUAUCGUUGUCCUUAUUUUGUUGAUGAUGACACUUUCUCUGCUUCAGGAAGCAGGUCUCCAAGGAAAUGCACUGCUACAUCACAGUGCCUGAUCACAGGAACAAUACAUUGGGCUGUGGGAUUGCAGCUGUGUGGCGGGUGCCACCAGACUGUUCAUGUCUUGCCUUGUGUGUAUGUGUGUGCGAGCGAGCGAUCCCUUGGGGCUCUCUCCCUCAGCCCAGGCUCCCUGAUUCGGCAGAAUGCCAGCGUUUGCUGCUUCCCACCUCCUUCCCGGAGACUCCCGGCCAUAAUAGACGGUAAUGGCCUAAGACAAAUCAACCCGUUUCUUGUAAAAAUAGCAGCAAAUAACCCCUGACUUUGCCUCACGAGCGUAAACCAGAGAGAAGCUCGAUUCUGACAGCCGCAUUCACAGCGGGCAUUAACCCCAGGAGAAAGCUUGUGCUCCACUUGAACAAAGCCAUAAGUCUUGAAUACUUACGUCCCCCACUCACAGCUCAGAAUGGAUUGGUAAUGACCGACUGUCUGGCUGUGCAGGUUAAGUGCGCUUUGCCUGGGCCAAUCGCAGGAACGAGUGACCUCCGCGAUGUUUACAACACCAUCUUACCAAGCAACAGUUUCUGUGCAUUAGUUGGACAUAUGGGUAUCAUAUUUAAGCACCACAGAGAACCCUAACAAAUGUAGCCUAUAAACACUCACCCCUGACUGUGUUUGCUAGCUCUCGGGCUGUCGUUGUGAUGUUGCACGACUGAGGAGAAGAUGAGAGAGUGUGUGGAGCUCUGGCCAGGACCCUCUAUGUGGACUCUAAAGGGCCCAGGAGUUCACAAAACAAGCACAAACACACAAAAAAGAAAUCAAUCUGAUGUGAAUCCACAGUAAAGUGGUGGUUCCAAAUCUUUAGUUUAGAAACGUUCUGAGUGCAAUCCUUAAAAUUACCAGUAGGGAAUUAUACACCUUGAAAUGGUCACUUCAGGUUUGGGUCACAUGAGUUUAAGUCACUUUAUAAAAACUAUUACCUGAUAUUACAUCAACCCACCUAAAAUGGCCUGUGUUUGAAUAUUUUCAUGUGAAAAUGCAUUGAUUUGUUACAUUUAUAUGUAUGCAUUUGGCAGACAUUGCCUUCGAGGUACACAUUAACAUUUUUAUCAGUUCUUGCUUUCCCUGGAAACCAAACCAUGACCUUAGCAUUGUCGGCUACAGAAAAAGCCUGUAAUAUUAGACACUAGUUUUGUUGAGUUAAAAACUAUCUCUCUCUAGACAACGAAGUCUUAUAUUUAAAUUAAAAAUUAAAAGUACGGUGGUUCUUCUCCCAUCAAGUCUUGAAUGACCAGUUUAACACUUUGCAUGCACAAUUUGAACAUGUCUAAUUUAAAAAGAAAAAAAAAAAUCCAUUUCAGUUAUACCAGGGUUGAUUUCAGCCAAUACCAUUUGCCAUUUUUUAAAAGAUGUAGGGGAGAGCGGGGCACAACCUAAUGCAUUUUGGUUUUGGCUCAG